UUCGUGAGUAGAAGCGGUUAGGUGCCGGGCGGCAUCGGGACAUUGCUCAUAGU
ncrna:Vibrio fluvialis I21563 NMT1 RNA